GACGAACGCUGGCGGCGUGCUUAACACAUGCAAGUCGAACGGAAAGGCCCUGCUUUUGUGGGGUGCUCGAGUGGCGAACGGGUGAGUAACACGUGAGUAACCUGCCCUUGACUUUGGGAUAACUUCAGGAAACUGGGGCUAAUACCGGAUAGGAGCUCCUGCUGCAUGGUGGGGGUUGGAAAGUUUCGGCGGUUGGGGAUGGACUCGCGGCUUAUCAGCUUGUUGGUGGGGUAGUGGCUUACCAAGGCUUUGACGGGUAGCCGGCCUGAGAGGGUGACCGGCAACAUUGGGACUGAGAUACGGCCCAGACUCCUACGGGAGGCAGCAGUGGGGAAUAUUGAACAAUGGGCGGAAGCCUGAUGCAGCAACGCCGCGUGCGGGAUGACGGCCUUCGGGUUGUAAACCGCUUUCGCCUGUGACGAAGCGUGAGUGACGGUAAUGGGUAAAGAAGCACCGGCUAACUACGU
rnacentral:rRNA from 1 species